GGAGAAANCUGUUAGUCGAGGGUGCUUCUUCUUCUUUGAUGUAACCCGGCGGACGGCUCAGUAACACGUGGAUAACUUGCCCUUGGGUCCGGGAUAACCCCUGAGAAAUUGGGGACAAUACUGGAUAGGGCAUCGAUAGCUGGAAUGCGCGAUGUCCAAAAGCUGAGGCGCCCAAGGAUAUUUCUGCGGCCAGAUUGGGUUGUUGUUGAUGUAAUGGAUCAACAAGCCUGCAAUCGGUACGGGUUGUGAGAGCAAGAGCCCGGAGAUGGGUUCUGAGAAAAGAACCCAGGUCCCGACGGGACGCAUCAGGCGCGAAAACUUUACAAUGAGGCGAAAGCACGAUAAGGGAGCUCUGAGUUGCCUCCGAUGGAGGGUGGUUAGAGNGUCUAAAAAGCACGUUGAAGUGAGGGCUGGGGAAGACCNGGGGCCAGCCCGGGGNGGNAAACCGGCAAGCCAAGGGGGNAGCCACAAUUAUCGGGGCAAAAGCGUCC
rnacentral:rRNA from 1 species